rnacentral:tmRNA from 1 species
GGGGGCGUAAUGGUUUCGACGAGAGUGAUUUGGUAUAAAUGUGCAAACUGCAGUGGAAACUGCAUAAAAAUUCCAAAAUUAAAUUAAACGCAAAUAACGAAGAAUUAUACGCAGCUGCCUAAACGCAGCGGCCGUCUUGUCUGCAAAUACUGCGAUGCGGAUUUAGGCGUCAACUAGCAGUGAACGUGACUUAAAAAUAUCUCAUAUUAAGUCAUGACAUUCGAGAUUACCUAAAACAAAGUUUGUUUGUGGACUUUUAUUUAGGGAAUUUUAACCAUAAACUAUGUUUGUAGAGCAUUUAUAUUGAACAUUUUCGGACACGGGUUCAACUCCCGUCGCCUCCACCA